UACGUAGGGUCCGAGCGUUGUCCGGAAUUAUUGGGCGUAAAGAGCUCGUAGGCGGUCUGUUGCGUCGGUUGUGAAAACCUGGGGCUCAACUUCAGGCCUGCAAUCGAUACGGGCAGACUAGAGUUCGGUAGGGGAGACUGGAAUUCCUGGUGUAGCGGUGAAAUGCGCAGAUAUCAGGAGGAACACCGGUGGCGAAGGCGGGUCUCUGGGCCGAUACUGACGCUGAGGAGCGAAAGCGUGGGGAGCGAACAGG
rnacentral:rRNA from 1 species